GAGAAGAUAUCACGGGCGCGCGGCGGAUGCCUUGGCACAGGAAGCCGAUGAAGGACGCGGCAAGCUGCGAUAAUCCGCGGUUAGGGGCACACACCCUUCGACCCGCGGGUCUCCGAAUGGGCGAACCCGCCGGAAGAGGUUCCGGCAUCCCGGGGGCGAAUCCAUAGCCCCCGGGAGGACAACCCGGGGAACUGAAACAUCUAAGUACCCGGAGGAGGAGAAAUCAACUGCGAGAUCCCCCGAGUAGCGGCGAGCGGAAGGGGGCCAUGGCCAAACCGGCGGGCGCAUGCGCGCGGCAGCGUUCGCGCCGCCGGGGUUGUAGGGCCGCGACGCCCGGGGGCUGCCGCCCCCGGCGCGCACCGAUCCAGGGGAGCCGAACGGCAUGGGACGGCCGGCGGCACAGGGU
rnacentral:rRNA from 1 species